rnacentral:rRNA from 1 species
GACGAACGCUGGCGGCGUGCCUAAUACAUGCAAGUAGAACGCUGAAGGAGGAGCUUGCUUCUCUGGAUGAGUUGCGAACGGGUGAGUAACGCGUAGGUAACCUGCCUGGUAGCGGGGGAUAACUAUUGGAAACGAUAGCUAAUACCGCAUAACAGUAGAUGUUGCAUGACAUUUGCUUAAAAGGUGCAAUUGCAUCACUACCAGAUGGACCUGCGUUGUAUUAGCUAGUUGGUGGGGUAACGGCUCACCAAGGCGACGAUACAUAGCCGACCUGAGAGGGUGAUCGGCCACACUGGGACUGAGACACGGCCCAGACUCCUACGGGAGGCAGCAGUAGGGAAUCUUCGGCAAUGGACGGAAGUCUGACCGAGCAACGCCGCGUGAGUGAAGAAGGUUUUCGGAUCGUAAAGCUCUGUUGUAAGAGAAGAACGAGUGUGAGAGUGGAAAGUCACACUGUGAC